UACAGAGGGUGCAAGCGUUAAUCGGAAUUACUGGGCGUAAAGCGUGCGUAGACGGUUGCGUAAGUCAGAUGUGAAAGCCCCGGGCUCAACCUGGGAAUUGCAUUUGAGACUGCGUAGCUAGGGUGCGGAAGAGGGAAGCGGAAUUUCCGGUGUAGCGGUGAAAUGCGUAGAUAUCGGAAGGAACACCAGUGGCGAAGGCGGCGUUCUGGACUGCAACUGACACUGAUGAACGAAAGCCAGGGGAGCAAACGGG
rnacentral:rRNA from 1 species